CAAUAGCGUAUAUUAAAGUUGUUGCAGUUAAAAAGCUCGUAGUUGGAUUUCGGGGCAGCCUGGCUGGUCCGCCGCAAGGCGAGUACUGGUCAGCCGCCCUUCCUCUCGAAAGCCCCGACUGCUCUUUACUGCAGUGGUCGGGUAGUUCGGGACGUUUACUUUGAAAAAAUUAGAGUGUUCAAGGCAGGCCGUCGCCUGAAUACAUUAGCAUGGAAUAAUGGAAGAGGACCUCGGUCCUAUUUUGUUGGUUUCCAGGGCCGAAGUAAUGAUUAAGAGGGACAGUUGGGGGCAUUCGUAUUUAAUUGUCAGAGGUGAAAUUCUCGGAUUUAUGAAAGACGGACAACUGCGAAAGCAUUUGCCAAGGAUGUUUNCAUUAA
rnacentral:rRNA from 1 species